rnacentral:rRNA from 1 species
UAUUCCCCACUGCUGCCUCCCGUAGGAGUCUGGGCCGUGUCUCAGUCCCAAUGUGGCCGUCCGCCCUCUCAGGCCGGCUACUGAUCGUCGCUUUGGUGGGCCGUUACCUCACCAACUGGCUAAUCAGACGCGGGUCCAUCUCAGACCACCGGAGUUUUUCACACCGCUCCAUGCGAAGCUGUGCGCUUAUGCGGUAUUACCAGCCGUUUCCAGCUGCUAUCCCCCGGUCUGAGGCAGGUUUUCCCACGCGUUACUCACCCGUCCGCCACUCAGUACAAGAUCUUCCGUCCGAAAACUUCCGUUCUUAUACCUCGUUCGACUUGCAUGUGUUAAGCACGCCGCCAGCGUUCAUCCUGAGCCAA